rnacentral:rRNA from 1 species
GAUGAACGCUGGCGGCGUGCUUAACACAUGCAAGUCGAACGGAAAGGCCCAAGCUUGCUUGGGUACUCGAGUGGCGAACGGGUGAGUAACACGUGGGUGAUCUGCCCUGCACUUCGGGAUAAGCCUGGGAAACUGGGUCUAAUACCGGAUAGGACCACUUCUUGGAUGUUGUGGUGGAAAGUUUUUUCGGUGUGGGAUGAGCUCGCGGCCUAUCAGCUUGUUGGUGGGGUAAUGGCCUACCAAGGCGUCGACGGGUAGCCGGCCUGAGAGGGUGUACGGCCAGUCUUGGACCGUAGGGAGGCCCGGGCUACCGACGGGGGGGGGAGGGGGGGAAUCUUGACGAAGGGGCGCAGGCUGAAUGCGGCGGGGCGGCGGGGGGGAGGACGCCGUUAGGUUUGAAAACCACUUUCGCAAGGAACGAGGCUUUUUGUGAGGGUACCUGAAAAGAAAGCCGGGGCUAACUACGUG